GACGUAAUGUGUUUUUGUGGACAUUUGCACAUGUCUUGCGCGAAAAAUUGUUUAUAUUUUGUUUAAUUCAAAAUGGAUUUUCGGUGAUAUGGACCAAGAACUAGAUGGCACGCUCGCAGCCACGUGGUCAGUGGCUUUGCCGCCAUUAAAAAGCGGUUUAGACGUUGCGAUGUAAGUACGCUUGCACACCUGUCAAACGUCGUGAAUGAUUCAUCCAACUCCAAUGCCUCCGUCCAAUAACCCCAGUGGCAGUGGGAGGAUUGGCGCGCUUUACUGCAGCCAAGGUUCAGAGCUUUGCCGGGCAUUCGGAAAUAUCAGUACUUCAGAUUUGAACAACGGUGUCCCGGAUAUGUUUUCGCAAGGGAACGACAUGGAUCAGAAGAGACGAAGAUUAUUAUGACAUCAGAAUCCGGUUUCGUUGCAACGGAUAGACCGCGCACGCUCACAGCUGCAGGGUUGUCUGAGCAGCGUCGCGCUUACCUGACGAAGAUUGUCUCCCCUACGUGUCCGCUGUACAUCGUGCUGUGUUAGUGCAUCAGGAAGAUUGUGAUGUUUGAUUAGCGCACGUUUCAACAUACUCGACUUAGAGUAUUGAGAAAAAAAUGUCUCAAAAAAAAUCGUGAAAGUGGAUAUUGUUGUGUUUCACCACUUCACGGAUUCAUUUACUGUUAUUAACUUAUCAUUUUUGUAUUUAAAUAUAUAGUUAUAUAUCUAAAUGUGACCGAUUGUUACUUAUGAGCAUUUCAAAGGCUUAUUAUACAGAAAACACGAAAAUAUUUACUUGCGAAACAAUGUUAUUAACGCCGAAAAUACGCGACGUCAACGACGUCGUAUUAAAGAAAUUAUUUCGUGAGUGUGGUAUUAAAGAUUUAAAUUCCGCAUAGUAUUUGGUCUAUCACCGUCAAAAGAGUUGCAGAUUUAAAACCAGGAAAGAAAAAUCUGUAAGAAAAUGAUAAAAAGUAAAAAUCAAAAAUUUUGUCAUUAAGGCAGGUUUUCACAUGACGCGAUACACACACACACACACACACACACACACACACACAUAUAUAUAUAUAUAUUUACAUUCCUAGCCUAACAUUA